AUUGAACGCUGGCGGCAUGCCUUACACAUGCAAGUCGAACGGCAGCACGGGGCAACCUGGUGGCGAGUGGCGCACGGGUGAGUAAUGCAUCGGAACGUACCUUUCAGUGGGGGAUAACGUAGCGAAAGUUACGCUAAUACCGCAUAUUCUGUGAGCAGGAAAGCAGGGGAUCGCAAGACCUUGCGCUGAUCGAGCGGCCGAUGUCAGAUUAGCUAGUUGGUGAGGUAAAGGCUCACCAAGGCGACGAUCUGUAGCGGGUCUGAGAGGAUGAUCCGCCACACUGGAACUGAGACACGGUCCAGACUCCUACGGGAGGCAGCAGUGGGGAAUUUUGGACAAUGGGGGCAACCCUGAUCCAGCCAUGCCGCGUGAGUGAAGAAGGCCUUCGGGUUGUAAAGCUCUUUCGGCCGGGAAGAAAUCGCACGGGCUAAUACCCUGUGUGGAUGACGGUACCGGAAUAAGAAGCACCGGCUAACUACGUGCCAGCCGCCGCAGUAACAC
rnacentral:rRNA from 1 species